rnacentral:rRNA from 1 species
AACGAACGCUGGCGGCAGGCUUAACACAUGCAAGUCGAACGGGCACCUUCGGGUGUCAGUGGCAGACGGGUGAGUAACGCGUGGGAACGUACCCUUCGGUUCGGAAUAACCCAGGGAAACUUGGGCUAACACCGGAUACGUCCGCAAGGAGAAAGAUUUAUCGCCGAAGGACCGGCCCGCGUCGGAUUAGCUAGUUGGUGGGGUAAUGGCCCACCAAGGCGACGAUCCGUAGCUGGUCUGAGAGGAUGAUCAGCCACACUGGGACUGAGACACGGCCCAGACUCCUACGGAGGCAGCAGUGGGGAAUAUUGGACAAUGGGCGAAAGCCUGAUCCAGCCAUGCCGCGUGAGUGAAGAAGGCCUUAGGGUUGUAAAGCUCUUUCAGC